rnacentral:pre_miRNA from 1 species
GUGGGCAUCUUACCGGACAGUGCUGGAUUUUCGCUCACUCUAACACUGUCUGGUAACGAUGUUCAA